GGGGCCUUAGCUCAGUUGGUAGAGCGCCUGCUUUGCAAGCAGGAUGUCAUCGGUUCGAAUCCGUUAGGCUCCACCA
rnacentral:tRNA from 50 species